rnacentral:piRNA from 1 species
UGGCUAAACAUAUAGACCCUUAAAGUUUAU